AGAUUGAACGCUGGCGGAAUGCUUUACACAUGCAAGUCGAGCGGAAAGGCCCUUCGGGGUACUCGAGCGGCGAACGGGUGAGUAACACGUGAGUAAUCUGCCCCUAGCUCUGGGAUAGCUCCGGGAAAACCGGGAUUAAUACCAGAUAUGACCACUUUAGACAUCUGCUGUGGUGGAAAGAAUUUCGGCUAGGGAUGAGCUCGCGGCCUAUCAGCUUGUGGUGGGGUAACGCCUACCAAGGCGACGACGGGUA
rnacentral:rRNA from 1 species